UCUUAAAGAGCUCAGUUUUUUUCUAUUUCACCUCCACUCCUUGAUGGAAGUCCACUCGUUGUUGACUUUGUCAGUCCUACAGAAUUCCAAGUGAGGCCCUGAAAGUGUUAAUAGCGAUUUCUCCUGAGAAAAUCAACAGCUGCUGAGGUGAGCUGGGCAGCUGCUUAGAUGAGUUGGAUGUGAUCCUGUCCCGUUCCUUAAUGGCAGCUCACUUGUAUUCAUUGAGGGUUUCAUAGGUGAGUGCUCAUUCUCCAGAAU